rnacentral:rRNA from 1 species
CACGUAGGGGGCGAUCGUUGUCCGGAAUGACUGGGCGUAAAGGGCGUGUAGGCGGCCGACUAAGUCUGGAGUGAAAGUCCUGUAUUCAAUGUGGGAAUUGCUUUGGAUACUGGUUGGCUCGAGUGCGGAAGAGGUAAGUGGAAUUCCCAGUGUAGCGGUGAAAUGCGUAGAGAUUGGGAGGAACACCAGUGGCGAAGGCGACUUACUGGGCCGUAACUGACGCUGAGGCGCGAAAGCGUGGGGAGCGAAC